rnacentral:tRNA from 1 species
GGCGGGUGUAGCGCAGAGGUCGUCGCACUGGGACUCCAACUUCCUGGGGACGCCGGUUCGAAUCCGGCCGCCCGCCA